GGUACUGUACCAGACAUUAAAGAUACAAGAUGAAAAAGAUAUUCUCAUGGAUUAAUUGAUGAUAUAAUUUAAAAUAGAAAACUGAAAGAAUAGGUCGUCUUAUGUGUUAUGAGGACAGCAAUGGCCGCCCUCUGCGGGUGCUUGUGCACUGCAGUGCACCCUCCACAGGAUUUCACAGAGAGUCUGGGAUGCUUACUGCACUUGCAGGGACCCUUGAAGGGCUCUUCAGGUCUACAGGUGUGAUGUGAGCCAUAAUUUGAGAAAUAGUGGUCAGAACCAAAUUUUUUUUAUGACCUGGAAUAAGGCUAUUUGUAUCCUUUUAAAAUAAUCCUCUGUAUCUGUUAUAGGAUUUCUCCCAUCUUACUCCAGGAGAAAUGGAAGCUUCAGAGUACCAUCACCAUGCUCAUUCUCAAAACGUCCUUGGUAGACAUUCAAAGGUUUACACUCUCUCUUCUACCAAAGUUGAGUACACACUGCCAGCUGACCUUUCAAUCUUGGCCGCUUUUGCUUCUCUCAAGUUACCAGCCAGCUCAGAUAAAGGGAGAAAAGUGAACUCUUAUUCUUUCUGGAAGCUGAAUGGCUGCUUCUACCUAGAAAGCCAAUCUUCUGUGAAUUAA
rnacentral:lncRNA from 1 species